rnacentral:rRNA from 1 species
UACGAAGGGUGCAAGCGUUACUCGGAAUUACUGGGCGUAAAGCGUGCGUAGGUGGUUCGUUAAGUCUGAUGUGAAAGCCCCGGGCUCAACCUGGGAAUUGCAUUGGAUACUGGCGAGCUCGAGUGCGGUAGAGGAUGGCGGAAUUCCCGGUGUAGCAGUGAAAUGCGUAGAGAUCGGGAGGAACAUCCGUGGCGAAGGCGGCCAUCUGGACCAGCACUGACACUGAGGCACGAAAGCGUGGGGAGCAAACAGG